rnacentral:rRNA from 1 species
UCAAGCUAAAAAGGGCGCAAGGUGAAUGCCUUGGCACUGGGAGCCGAUGAAAGACGUGGUAAGCUGCGAAAAGCUUCGGGGAGGAGCAAACAUCCAUUGAUCCGGAGAUAUCUGAAUGGGGCAACCCAAUGGAGUUCAUACUCCAUUAUCCAAUACUGAAUCCAUAGGUAUUGGAAGGGAACCGCCUGAACUGAAACAUCUAAGUAGGGCGAGGAAGAGACAUCAAACGAGAUUCCGUAAGUAGUGGCGAGCGAACGCGGAAGAGGGCAAACCGGAAGUAGAAAUACUUCCGGGGUACGGACUGCUUUUAGGACUUAAUCUGUUAACCGAACGGCAUGGGAAGGCCGGUCAGAGAGUGUGAGAACCACGUAGGUGAAAACGGAGAGAGCUGCGCAGGAUCCAGAGUACGGCCAGACACGUGAAACCUGGUCGGAAUACGGGGGGACCACCCUCCAACCCUAAAUACUACCCAGUGACCGAUAGCGUAUAGUACUGUGAAGGAAAGGUGAAAAGCACCCCGGGAGGGGAGUGAAAAAGAACCUGAAACCCUGUGCCUACAAGCACCUAGAGCACGUCAAUGUGUGAUAGGGUACUUUUUGUAGAACGGUCCGGCGAGCGAUUGUAUGCAGCAAGGUUAAGGACUUAAGGUCUGGAGCCGAAGCGAAAGCGAGUUUGAAAAGGGCGUUAAGUUGCAUAUAAUGGGCCCGAAACCGGGUGACCUACCCAUGGUCAGGUUGAAGUGGAAGUAAAAUUCCAUGGAGGACCGAACCGACCUCCGUUGAAAAGGCGGCGGAUGAACUGUGGGUAGCGGAGAAAUUCCAAUCGAACCCGGAGAUAGCUGGUUCUCCCCGAAAUAGUUUUAGGACUAGCCUCAAGUUAGAUACCUGGAGGUAAAGCACUGAAUAGCCUAGCGGCCGAGAGGUUAGCGAAGCUUAUCAAACUCAGAAUGCCAGAGUAUUGAUGCUUGGGAGUCAGACAGUGUCAGAUAAAUGUCAUUGUCAAAAGGGAAACAGCCCAGAUCUACAGCUAAGGUCCCAAAGUCAGGUUAAGUGGAAAACGAUGUGAAGAUACGUAGACAACCAGGAUGUUGGCUCAGAAGCAGCCACACAUUCAAAGAGUGCGUAAUAGCUCACUGGUCGAGCGUCUUUGCGCGGAGAAUUUAACGGGGCUAAACCUGACACCGAAGCUUAGGCAAUACAGCAAUGUAUUGGGUAGGGGAGCGUUGUAUACGCGGUGAAACAGUAGCGCAAGCGGCUGUGGAGUGUAUAGAAGUGAGAAUGCCGGAAUGAGUAGCGCGAAUGCAGUGAGAAUCUGCAUGGCCGAAAGCCUCAGGUUUCUGGAGGAAGGUUCGUCCGCUCCAGGUUAGUCGGGAGCUAAGGUGAGGCCUAACGGCGUAGCCGAUGCACAGACGGUAGAGAUUCCGUCACCACCAAAAGAGUUAAGCACAGGGACACAUUUGAAGUCUCGGAGCCGGGUGUUGGUUCCGGUAGCGAUCGAGGGAAAUUAGUACCGAAGUCCGGGAUGGAAGAUGGCGAGAAAAGCUGUGUGUAUUUCUGCGGUGCCCGUACCGCAAACCGACACAGGUAGGUAGGAAGAAGAUUCUAAGGCCAACGGGAGAAGGGUUGUUAAGGAACUCGGCAAAUUGACCCCGUAACUUCGGGAGAAGGGGUGCUCCAGAGAUGGAGCCGCAGAGAAUCGGCCCAAGCAACUGUUUACCAAAAACACAGGUUUGUGCUAAAUCGAAAGAUGACGUAUACGAGCUGACGCCUGCCCGGUGCUGGAAGGUUAAAAGGAGAUGUGCAAGCAUUGAAUUGAAGCCCCAGUGAACGGCGGCCGUAACUAUAACGGUCCUAAGGUAGCGAAAUUCCUUGUCAGGUAAG